ACAAAAUAGCAUUACCCUAAGGCACCAGAUCCCAUUUGAUAUCAGAUGCUAAGCAGGUCCAAUCAUGGUAAGUGCUUGGAUGGGAGACUGUCAGAGGAACUGGCAAUAUUUCUUCUGUA
rnacentral:rRNA from 11 species